rnacentral:rRNA from 1 species
UACAGAGGUCUCGAGCGUUAGGCGGAAUCACUGGGCUUAAAGCGUGUGUAGGCGGGUCGUUAAGUGCCUUGUGAAAUCCCAUGGCUCAACCAUGGAACUGCUGGGCAUACUGGCGAUCUUGUGCCACCUAGGGGCGAGCGGAACAGAUGGUGGAGCGGUGAAAUGCGUAGAUAUCAUCUGGAACGCCAAUGGUGAAAACAGCUCGCUGGGGGUGUGACAGACGCUGAGACACGAAAGCCAGGGGAGCGAACGGG